rnacentral:rRNA from 1 species
GAUGAACGCUGGCGGCGUGCCUAGUACAUGCAAGUCGAGCGAACGGACGAGAAGCUUGCUUUUCUGAUGUUAGCGGCGGACGGGUGAGUAACACGUGGAUAACCUACCUAUAAGACUGGGAUAACUUCGGGAAACCGGAGCUAAUACCGGAUAAUAUUUUGAACCGCAUGGUUCAAAAGUGAAAGACGGUCUUGCUGUCACUUAUAGAUGGAUCCGCGCUGCAUUAGCUAGUUGGUAAGGUAACGGCUUACCAAGGCAACGAUGCAUAGCCGACCUGAGAGGGUGAUCGGCCACACUGGAACUGAGACACGGUCCAGACUCCUACGGCAGGCAGCAGUAGGGAAUCUUCCGCAAUGGGCGAAAGCCUGACGGAGCAACGCCGCGUGAGUGAUGAAGGUCUUCGGAUCGUAAAACUCUGUUAUUAGGGAAGAACAUAUGUGUAAGUAACUGUGCACAUCUUGACGGUACCUAAUCAGAAAGCCACGGCUAACUACGUG